rnacentral:rRNA from 1 species
GUGGGGAAUUUUGGACAAUGGGCGCAAGCCUGAUCCAGCAAUGCCGCGUGCAGGAAGAAGGCCUUCGGGUUGUAAACUGCUUUUGUACGGAACGAAACGGUCCUGGUUAAUACCUGGGGCUAAUGACGGUACCGUAAGAAUAAGCACCGGCUAACUACGUGCCAGCAGCCGCGGUAAUACGUAGGUUGCGAGCGUUAAUCGGAAUUAAUGGGCGUAAAGCGUGCGCAGGCGGUGCUGUAAGACAGGCGUGAAAUCCCCGGGCUCAACCUGGGAAUUGCGCUUGUGACUGCAGUGCUGGAGUACGGCAGAGGGGGAUGGAAUUCCGCGUGUAGCAGUGAAAUGCGUAGAUAUGCGGAGGAACACCGAUGGCGAAGGCAGUCCCCUGGGCCUGUACUGACGCUCAUGCACGAAAGCGUGGGGAGCAAACAGGAUUAGAAACCCCAGUAGUCC